GAAUCAAUAAGUGAAAUAACUGAAUCUCUAUAUAAUAACCCAAGGAUUGGUAGUACAAGUCACGAGCCACUAAGACUUAAUCAGAUUUACAAGCUGGUACGAAGUAAUACAACAUCUGUUUGGAUUAUACAUAAAUAGAAUUCAAAUCUAAAGCUACCAAGGACAAGUGGUAGACAUAACCAGAAUGCAGGUACAUCUUCAACGUCGGCUUCCCCCGUACGCAACAGCAUCAACUCCAGGAUAUGCAUGCAAGGUGCAAAAGUGCAGUAUUAGUACAACCGACCACAUGUACUCAAUAAGUAUCAUAACUUACCUCAACGAGGUAAUAGAAGCAAGAAUUAUAAAUGAUACUUACAAUCACUUGUACAAGUUCAUAAAAUUCCAAAAAGUAUAGAACAUAUAUAUGAUCAAAUCAGGAAAACACAAAUAAAACCACCUUGGUGCUCAUAAUUCGUUUUAAUGUGUUUUGCUCGGUCGACAAUCCAUCAUAUAAGGAAGAUAUGCAAGUAAAUUAGGUAAAAAGUCAAGAAAAUUACAAAUAAUGAUGAUAUGCAAUAACCAAAUAUCAAUCUGUGUGCGCAACCCUAUCCCAAUAGAAAUCACAUCAUCGCUCUUCUGCCCAGAUCAUGAACCAAACCAAUAACCAGCUCUCCCAGAAGUCACAUCAACUUCGGUUUCUCAUAAUCUACGUGUGUGCCAUCAAGAGAGAAACAUGAGAGGGUGAUCCUAGGGGGAUGGAUCCAUAUCCGCACGCAUGCACGACCAAUUCAACGUGCAAUCAGCCCACAUGGUUAGAGGCUCAAUAUCAUAAUCUGCCUGGCAUGGUCACAAGCUAUAUCAUAAUCUGUCCGGCGUGGUCACGGGGAUAGCAACACAAUUCCCCUGGCACAGUGACAGGCAUAACAACACAUACAAUCCGGCGUAGUUAUAUGCAUAACAACACAAUCCUCCCACGCAUGGUCACAAGCAUAAUAACACAAUCCGUCCGGCGUGGUCACAAGCAUCUAGUCCAAAUCAUAUUAUACAAAAGCAGAUAUACGAUUAUACAUGUAUAUGGUGAAUGAAUAUCAAAUUUCAUGCUCCUGGAGUAGUAUAAAUGCAUGCUAAAGUGUAGGAAUGUGCAAAGUGUGCUAUCAUAGCUCAAAUCGAUAAUUUCAUCACAUAAUAACAAUUAUCAUGUUUAUUCAGGGAAUUAACCUCUAUGUAACCUCAAACAUGGGUCAAAUAGUUCACAACAAGGUUACAAAUAUGAGAAACAUCAUAGCUUAAAGAUUAACAGUCAAUUCUAGGCAAAUCAUAGCCUAAGCACUACCUCGAAUACUGAUAAAUACCCCGGUGCUCGCACAUGGGCUCAACCCCACAUAUAUGCACACCUAUAGCACGUAACUAUCAUAAAUAAUUGAGGCAACUAGCGCCUUAACUAAGUUUAGAUAAGAUACUUACCUCAAACAAGCCAAAUCAAAUGCCAAGAAAGCCAAACAAUACUCUACAAUCUUCAUCCCAUGCAAAUCAACCUCUGAACGGUUCAAAACUAGCUAAAAGCAAUAGAAUCAUCAAAUAAUGCCAUGGAAAACAAACCCAAACGAAAAAGGUCGAAUCUUUAAUCAAAAGUCUAAAGUCAACCAAAAGGUCAACCCCGGGCCCGCACCUUGAAACCAAAAAAAAUCACAAAUUUUAGUAUCCCAUUCAAUUACGAGUCCAACUAUACUAAUUUCACUCAAAUCCGACUCUAAAUCGAUGUUCAGAACUCAAUUAUUCACUUUAAAAAAGUUUAGACAAAAACUCCCAGUUUCUCUUCUAAAAUUAUCAAUCAAAUGCCAAAAUUGAAGAUAGAAUCAUAAAAUAUAAUCAAAUCCGAGUAGAUAGUACUUACUCCAAUCCAUGUGGUGAAAAUCCUUUUCAAAAUUGCCCAAAUCCGAACUCUCAAACUCAAAAUGUGAUAAAAUAAUUCAAAGGUCCGAUAUGGAGUACUUAUAUGCACUGUCAGUGGUACCCUACACAAUCCCCGUCAAUAACCUCAUGAUUGCGAUUCUAAAAUUGUCCAGCACAGCUUUUACUUUUCGUGAUCACGGUCAUUUUCCCGCGAUCGCGAUGAACAAAUUCCAUUAACCCUUUGCAAAUACUUCCCAGACAAUCUGUAGUGUUUUAGCCAUAACUUUUUGUACAUAACUCCAAAUAACAAAAAGUUUAAUUUUCUGAAAAUUAGAAACAAAGAGCUACAACUUUUGUUUUUAGAUCACCUCAAAAUACGUUAUAGAUUGCAAAAUAUAAGCUCUCCAAGUCAGCUAAGUGAUAGCAAGAAUUUCUUCUUCGUGAACGCAAUUCACAUGUCCAAUUUUCCCUUUUACUCUUCGUGAUCACGUCCCAGAGCUUUGGGAUGUACACCCCUGUAGACAAAAACCAACAGUUGAAAAAGGCCUAAAAAUGAUCCGAAACUACCCCGAAGCUCACCCGAGCCCCUCGGGACCCUGUCCGAACAUACCAACAAGUCCCAAAAUAUAACAUGAACCUAUUCGAGGUCUCAAAUCACACAUAAGAACAUCAAAACCCCGAAUUGCACCUCAAAUCAAAUUUUAUAAAAUUUUAAACUUUUAACUUCUAAAACUCGUUCCAAAUUAUAUCAAAUCAACCCGGAAUAACCUCAAAUUUUGCACACAAGUUCCUAAUGACAUAACGAACCUAUUCUAACUCUCAGAAUAAUAAUCCUGACUUGAUAUCAUCAAAGUCAACUUCAAAGGUCAAACUUAUGAACCUUCCAAACAUUUGAAUUGCCAACGUUCGCUAAUCAUAGUGAAAAUCUUCUAGAAGCCUCUAAAUACAAAUCCGAGCAUACGUCCAAGUCCAAAAUCACCAUUCGGACCUAACGAAACCAUCAAAAAUUCGAUCCGGAGUCAAAUACUCAAAAAUCAAAUUUGAUCAACUCUUCCAACUUAAAGCUUCUAAAAUGAGAAUUAUUCUUCCAAAUUGAUCCAGAAUCACCCAAAAAUAUAAACCGACGAUACACACAAAUCAUAAUACAUGAUACGAAUCUACUCAUACUCUCAAACCAUCGAACAGAAUGCAAUGCUCAAAACGAUCGGUCGGAUCGUUACACAUGCCUAAAUGGGCUAAGUAUCUCCAAGAAUAUCCAAAAAGUCUCAUUGAUAACCCUCUUAGUGGAGGACACGCCUAGUCUAGGCUAUAUAUAAUUAUAAUAAAAUGCAGCAAGUAGAGAAGGCAAUUCACAUAAUAAAUAUUAAAUAAUCUGAAAGCUAAAAUUAAUUUUGAAAACUGAUCUUAAAUUGAUAACUGAAAGCUGAAGCUGAAAAUUAGGUCUAUAUCUGAUAACUAAAAUUAAAGCGAAAAGCUUAGUCAAAGGUGAUAUUUGAAAUUUAAAUCUGAGUUACUUUUUCAGAAAAUAACUUUGCACAUAGUGGACCUGCGUACAUGUGCAUCUCGAAACACGCAUGGGGUAGUAUCAACCUAUCUUUCCAACAAAUAAUUUGGCCCUGCAUACGUGAACAUUUGGGAAGACGUACGGGAAAGUGUCAGCCUAUCUCCCCAUCAAAUAAUUUGGCCCUGCAUACAUGAUCAUCUUGGAACAUGUAUGGAGAAAUAUUUGCCUAUCUUCCCAUU
rnacentral:lncRNA from 1 species